CACGUAGGGCGCAAGCGUUGUCCGGAAUUAUUGGGCGUAAAGAGCUCGUAGGCGGUCUGUUGCGUCCGCUGUGAAAACUCGGGGCUUAACCCCGAGCCUGCAGUGGAUACGGGCAGACUAGAGGUAGGUAGGGGAGAAUGGAAUUCCCGGUGUAGCGGUGAAAUGCGCAGAUAUCGGGAGGAACACCGGUGGCGAAGGCGGUUCUCUGGGCCGAUACUGACGCUGAUGAGCGAAAGCCAGGGGAGCAAACGGG
rnacentral:rRNA from 1 species